rnacentral:misc_RNA from 1 species
GAUGAAGAACGUAGCGAAAUGCGAUAAGUAAUGUGAAUUGCAGAAUUCAGUGAACCAUCGAAUCUUUGAACGCACAUUGCGCCCGCCAGUAUUCUGGCGGGCAUGCCUGUCCGAGCGUCAUCUCAACCCUCGAGCCCCCCCGGGGGCUCGGCGUUGGGGACCGGCCCCGCCCCAGGGCGCGCCGCCCCCCAAAUCCAGUGGCGGUCCCGCCGCAGCCUCCCCUGCGCAGUAGCUUGCACACUCGUACCGGAGAGCGGCGCGGCCACGCCGUAAAACCCCCCGACCACGGAGCCCCGGCUCCUGAACGUUGACCUCGGAUCAGGUAGGAAUACCCGCUGAACUUAAGCAUAUCAAUAAGCGGAGGA